rnacentral:rRNA from 1 species
UACGAAGGGGGCUAGCGUUGUUCGGAAUUACUGGGCGUAAAGCGCGUGUAGGCGGGUCUUUAAGUCAGGGGUGAAAUGCCAAGGCUCAACCUUGGAACUGCCUUUGAUACUGGAGACCUUGAGUCCGGGAGAGGUGAGUGGAAUUGCGAGUGUAGAGGUGAAAUUCGUAGAUAUUCGCAAGAACACCAGUGGCGAAGGCGGCUCACUGGCCCGGAACUGACGCUGAGAGACGAAAGCUAGGGGAGCGAACAGG